GGGCAGCAGUGGGGAAUAUUGCACAAUGGGCGAAAGCCUGAUGCAGUAACGCCGCGUGAGCGAUGAAGGCCUUCGGGUCGUAAGGCUCUGUCCUCAAGGAAGAUAAUGACGGUACUUGAGGAGGAAGCCCCGGCUAACUACGUGCCAGCAGCCGCGGUAAUACGUAGGGGGCUAGCGUUAUCCGGAAUUACUGGGCGUAAAGGGUGCGUAGGUGGUUUCUUAAGUCAGAGGUGAAAGGCUACGGCUCAACCGUAGUAAGCCUUUGAAACUGGGGAACUUGAGUGCAGGAGAGGAGAGUGGAAUUC
rnacentral:rRNA from 1 species